AGUGGGGGAUAACGCCGCGAAAGCGGCGCUAAUACCGCAUAUUCUGUGCGCAGGAAAGUGGGGGACUCGCAAGGGCCUCACGCUUUCGGAGCGGCCGAUGUCCGAUUAGCUAGUUGGUAGGGUAACGGCUUACCAAGGCGACGAUCGGUAGCUGGUCUGAGAGGAUGAUCAGCCACACUGGGACUGAGACACGGCCCAGACUCCUACGGGAGGCAGCAGUGGGGAAUUUUGGACAAUGGGGGCAACCCUGAUCCAGCCAUGCCGCGUGCGGGAAGAAGGCCUUCGGGUUGUAAACCGCUUUUAGCCGGGAAGAAAAGGCGACUCUUAAUACGGGUCGUUCUUGACGGUACCGGCGGAAUAAGCACCGGCUAACUACGUGCCAGCAGCCGCGGUAAUACGUAGGGUGCGAGCGUUAAUCGGAAUUACUGGGCGUAAAGCGUGCGCAGGCGGUUCGUUAAGUUCGUUGUGAAAGCCCCGGGCUCAACCUGGGAAUGGCAAUGGAAACUGGCGGGCUUGAAUGCGGCAGAGGGGGGUGGAAUUCCG
rnacentral:rRNA from 1 species